rnacentral:lncRNA from 13 species
UCUGCUCCAAUGUGUUUUGAGAAGACAAGAGGAAGUGAGGAAUCAAGGCAAUACAGUUUGUUGUUCACCCCAUCCCACAACCCUACUGUACCACCCUUCAUCUUAGACAAGAGAUGCUUUUAAGGCUGCAUUUAUACAGCCUAAGACAUUUGAGCAACGCCCCCCCGUUGACUUGGCGUCAACUCCCGUCACUCAAUAAUAAAUCUAGUACAUUAUCAAACAAUAACCUAGUUCAUCGAACAGCACUGUGCAAAAGAACUUCAGAGUACACCAAAAUGGGCACAAGUUCUUAGAAUAAAUUCCAAUUUAAGUCAACUUUAUUUAACUUGUCUAUUCACUCCGUUAUUAGUUCAAA